GACGAACGCUGGCGGCGUGCCUAACACAUGCAAGUCGAGCGAGGAGGAGGAAGCUUGCUUCCGAAUCCUAGCGGCGGACGGGUGAGUAACGCGUGAGCAAUCUGCCUCAAACAGGGGGAUAACGCAUCGAAAGAUGUGCUAAUACCGCGUAAGACCACAGCACCGCAUGGUGCAGGGGUCAAAGGAGCAAUCCGGUUUGAGAUGAGCUCGCGUCCGAUUAGCUAGUUGGUGAGAUAACAGCCCACCAAGGCGACGAUCGGUAGCCGACCUGAGAGGGUGAUCGGCCACAUUGGAACUGAGACACGGUCCAGACUCCUACGGGAGGCAGCAGUGGGGAAUAUUGGGCAAUGGGCGAAAGCCUGACCCAGCAACGCCGCGUGAGGGAAGAAGGGUUCGGCUCGUAAACCUCUGUCCUAUGGGACGAAGAAAUGACGGUACCAUAGGAGGAAGCCCGGCUAACUACGUG
rnacentral:rRNA from 1 species